rnacentral:lncRNA from 12 species
GGGGGGGGGGGGGGGGGGGGAGGCAGGGCUGCCGGAGCACGGCCAGCCAGCGAGGGGGUGAGGUUAGGUGAAACAUUAGCCACGUUCUCUUGGCUUCCCGCCAGGGCCUUUCAAAUAUUUCUUUAUGUGCUGCUGAUGCUGUGCUUGUUUGGCAUUUAAAAGAAGUCUUCAAGAAGAUCAGCAGAAAUCACUAUGUAGUCAUACACAGCAACUACCUUAGACUAGCUACAGUUAUCAAAGAAAACUGAGUGAAACGAUAAUGAUACACAGGCUGAAAAAAA